GGGCCCGCACAAGCGGUGGAGCAUGUGGUUUAAUUCGAUGAUACGCGAGGAACCUUACCAGGGCUUAAAUGUAGAACGACCGAUUUGGAAACAAGUCUUCUCUUUGAGCGGUCUACAAGGUGCUGCAUGGUUGUCGUCAGCUCGUGCCGUGAGGUGUCGGGUUAAGUCCCUUAACGAGCGCAACCCCUAUCUCUAGUUGCCAGCGGAUAAUGCCGGGGACUCUAGAGAAACUGCCCGUGCAAACGGUGAGGAAGGUGGGGAUGACGUCAAAUCAUCACGGCCCUUACGUCCUGGGCUACACACGUGCUACAAUGGUCGGUACAGAGGGCAGCUACCACGUGAGUGGAUGCAAAUCUCGAAAGCCGAUCUCAGUUCGGAUUGAAGUCUGCAACUCGCCUACAUGAAGGUGGAAUC
rnacentral:rRNA from 1 species